rnacentral:lncRNA from 1 species
GAGUUUUGUACUUUAUGAAAUAAUUUCUCUUGGGCCAUUUGUUGGGCCGAAUUUAGGUUUUCCGGCCCAGUUUGAAUUAUAAAUGUAACCCUUAUUUUGUUUAAAAUGAGCAGCCACGGUACUAUAGUAAACACACCUUAUUCACCAUAACUUUUUGUUUCGUGCGAUCAUGAAGAGAAACUAAUCUUCUAGAGUCAAUCUCCUGUAACCGAAUUUCCAAGGCUUUGAGAUUUUUAUCCUAUUAAUUUAGUUUCGUUUCUC